rnacentral:rRNA from 1 species
AGAUUGAACGCUGGCGGCAUGCCUUACACAUGCAAGUCGAACGGCAGCACGGGAGCAAUCCUGGUGGCGAGUGGCGAACGGGUGAGUAAUAUAUCGGAACGUGCCCAGUCGUGGGGGAUAACGCAGUGAAGCUGUGCUAAUACCGCAUACGAUCUAUGGAUAGAAAGGCGGGGACUCGCAAGAGCCUCGCGCGAGUUGGAGGCGGCCGAUAUCAGAUUAGCGUUAGGUUGGGUAGGGGUAAAACGCCCGAACCGAAGGACGACGUAUCUGUACGCUGGUCUGGAGACGGACCGAACCAGCCACACGUGGAACCUAGACGACC